rnacentral:lncRNA from 1 species
GCAGAAUUUGAGCUUUAUCUUAUAUGUGACUCAAGAAUGUAGGUCUUUUACUUCUUAUUCAAGAUGAAAUCCUGUUACAUGGCUGCCUUUUGAAGGAUUUAAUUGCUCCAAGGAUUCAUGCUUACACAGUAUUCUUCACCUCUUAAAAAUCACCGUAAGUCCUACUUUAGUAAUGCUAUUCUUUGAUGAGAAUAUUUCACGUCCUGUGUAAAGUGGGUUAGGACUUUCCUCAUUCCCUUGUCAUCACAUAUGAAUUCUAGCCAAUAUAAAUGUCCUGUCUUAUUGGCAGGGACCAAAGAGAAAUCAGACAUACUGAGAGGAUUGCAAAUGAAGGACUUUUACAGCUACAAGGAUGGAAGUCUCUCAAGAUCUUUCCUGAUAAUACUGAGGAAGAUGUCAUUAGCAGGAGAUGCUGCCUAGCAUGAGACUACACUCUCAUGAGACUACAUGGUCUGGUCACUGGAAUCAGUCCGUCUGUAGCUCAGGUACUUGAUCAAAAUUGACAGGUAUCCAAUGAUUGCAAAGUAACUGUAGGUUGAGUUUUAACCCAUUUCUUAUGUUUAUUUUGAUUGUACUGAUUUUUGCAAGUUAAAACUAGAAACACAAGCAAAUUUCUUUCUCCAUCUGUAACAGUAGGAAGAGAACGCUUCUAGUACACAUAUCUCCUGAAAAC